UACUUACCUGACAGGGAGAUGCAGUAAGAGGCUCCAGACAUGCAAAUAUUUUGGAAGGAAAGGAUAGGCACAGGAAUUUUCUUAGUUUCCACAUUCAUUUUUCCUUGACCCACUGUUUUUCUAUCCUCAAGCAUAUCCCCUGUCAGCCACCAUUGUCACAGCACAGCUAUUCAAGCCUGGCUUUCGUGCUUGUUUGAGACCAGGAGGCUGGUAACACUAGUGUUUUCAGAAUUAUCCUUAAAAGGAAGACAUGAUAUUCUUUUAUGUUUUUAUUCCUUUAAGUGGGAAAAUGGAUGGCAGUGAAGUCUAAUGCUGACCAAGUCUACUUGCAAGACAAAACUGGAAAAAUAUCAGGAGCUUCUGUAGGCUUCUCUCCAUUUCUCACUGAUAAUCUAGGGAAGAAUGAGUAGGAUAUCUAUAACAUUUUCAGGAUGUAUCUUAAUUCUCUUAUACCAGACUAUGUUUUGAUGUGAUAAGCCAGAAUAUCUGCAAGAUGUACUAAAAAAUGAGUUGUUUUUUACCACUCUUUAAAUAGCAAGGUACAGACCAUCUGCAUAAAUCAUCAUAGUGUCUUUAUGUUGGUCAGUUUGUUAUUGGUUAUAGCUAAAAAUAUUUUCCCGGGCUUUAUUUUUUAACACCAAGUUCAGGAGAAAGGGUUGUUAAUCAGGUUUAAAUAUUAUUACAGCAAAAAGCAGUGAAAACAAAACCUACUGAGAACUGCCUUCCAAGAAGCACAGUAGGUAAAACUGGUGACAUAAAUCCCUCCGCUGGUACCUUUGUGCUAGAUUUGCAGCUUCAUAGAAUAUGUUCAGUUGUACUCUGCUCAGCAGCACAGUCCUGUGUCCUGACAGUUGAGUAAUGUUCUGCUCACGUCUUCCCUUGUAAAAUGAAAAAAGUUGAUAAUUUAAUAUAGAUGUGACAAGUACAAGAUAGAUUUCUGCCCAGCACAGUUCACUGCUUAAAGCAUCAGACUGAAAACCUUCUUUACAGAAAACUAGAUCCUUAAAUCUCUCCCAUCACCCACCCCCUCAAAAAUUAAACACAAUGCAAAAACAAAUUUAGACUAAAAGUUUAAUUUGUUCUUUGAUAACUUAAGCAGGGAAAAUCUUUUCUGUCUAUUGCUCCAGAAAAUGGAACAACAUCUUUUGUUUCUGCAGAAACUCUCCCCUGAACCAAGGAAGCAGUUUAUUGCUACUUCUUGUGGCCAUUGUGGUUGAAGUAAGCUGAUUGCAUUUUUGGCAAAGCACAUUGAUUUCCAUCAAUCCAAAUGAUGUUUCUGUGUGUGGCAGGGUAUGCAGUCUGAUUCCACUGGCUUUCUGAGCAAUUGUCAGUCCUACAAGUGCACUAGUGGUGGAUGAUACGCAGAAAACUGAAAGUUACCGCUCCACCCUGUCACCCAGGCAGCUUGGAGGGAGGCACAACUGGCAGGAGGCUCUGCGAGUCUGUGGGGGGUUGACCUGUUUUUGAGGAGAGCAGAGUUAAAGAAGGGGCAUGGUACCACUGUGGAAGCUGUAUCUUUGGUAGCGGCAAUAUGAGAUUGUCUCUGGAGAGGAAGAGGUUAGAACAGAAUUCAGCACCUCCAAAUCCCCAGGGAUUUCCAAAAUCUUUGAUAGUAUCAUGAACUUCCUGGAAACAUUAUACUUUCUUUUAAAAAUCAGUGCUGUAAAAGAUCCAGAUGAUUGUGUCUCACCACUAAAUUGAAUGCAGAACACCUACUGCUAUUGCUUUCCAAGGAUAUCCAUUUAAUGCCAGAAUUCAAGACCUUUAGGACAGCAUUUUGGAAGCAUAUGAAAGCAUUUUGAAAGCAUAGCCUAUUUAUACAUAUAUUUCUUACUAAGUUAACAGCAGAAUUUUCAUUGACUUCAGAGGGUUAGCCUAUUGUCAAACACUCACAUUUGCUACCCCUAGGCAUUGACCAGAAUGCAUCUUUCAAUCCUGAGCUUUGAAUUUACAGUUAUCUACAUUGGAAGGAGUAACUUUUUCUGUGCAGUUGAUGUGGUACGUAUACACUAUAUACAUAUAUGUAUAUUUACCAGAUUCCUCUAAGCCGCUCAAAUCUCCUAAAACAGAGGAAGGGAUACAAACAAAAACGUUGAAUGAAACUGACCUUUCUUAAUGUUUUCACCAAUAUCCUGCUUAUAAAUGACUCUCAAAUGUACCAGAUAAAGAGAGUACAAAUAUCUUUAAACCAAAAAAGAAUAUCAUGAAUCUCAGAACACUUAAACAGCGUUACUAAAAAAUUCAUAGCUACUGACUGUUUGCCCAAACUUGUAGUGCUGUACUAUUGACUCUGUGCUCAACCCUUCACAGAUGGGAGAUUUGCCUGGGGUAGGGAGGCUUGCAGAACUGAUGCCUAGCAUGUUAAAUAAAUCUAUAGUCAACUGGCCAGAAAGUGGAUGGUUGAGCCAUAAGGAUAGCUCUUUGUGGCUUACCUAAGAAUUCUUUGCAGUAUAUAAUUAAACCACAAAAACUAACAUCAGAGUAAUGAUAAGUGUCUAAUGUAAUGCACUUUACUGAGGAAAUUCAGGUCAACAUUCCUUCCUUUGAUCCCCAACUGGGAUAAGCUAUCACACAAGGUAUGGGUCUGGAUACUCCCUUUCUCAAGCACUGGUGGAGGUGAAAGAGUUAAAGCUGAUGGAACUGGCUAGAUUGGAUGAACUAGCUGGGAGGCAAUAAUUUUCGUUGCACAUGCCUGCAGAAUCCCUCUGCAAUUACAAGAUGGGGAGAGGGAUCUCCAAAUAAAAGGAGAUUUCUCCAGGAUGUGAAGGAGUAAACUCAGAAGUGGCAUAUCUCCAUAACUUAUUGAUCUCAAGACUUAGUAGAUCUCCAAACUCCAUUAAUUCCUGUAUCAACUCUGUUUUACUUGCAUGCUCUAAGCUGGGAGAAAGUCAGGGGCAGUGAUGGGAUGAUAUUCCACGGGUGUCAAACUACUCAGAGAGCUGUGCUCUUCAAGAGCAUGAAGGUAUUGGAAAAGGUAUCCAGGAGAAGUCUUUGUAUACCAUUUCUCUUGAAGAUAUAGUUUCCAACUUCACAGAUACCUUUAAACAUUGUUACUUUACAUAACAUUGUCUUAAACAAACCGGAAAAACAUAAUCUAGAAAAAGCUGCUAUGGAGUGUUAGCAAAAUAAUGUGAAAAAUCAAACUGAACAAACAGCUACCAGUGGUUUACUGUAAAAAUGGAAGGACAUGGUUCCACAAGGAUCUGUCCUGAACCUGAUGCUUUAACAGUCUUUCCAUUAGUGAAUUCCAUGAUAGAAUAAAUAGUGUGUUAAUUAAAUUCGAAGAUGCCAGAAAGCUUUUGAGGCUCCAGCUAUGGAAGAGAACAUGAUUACAAUUCCAAGGAGUCUUGACGAAAGAGGGUAUGAAAAAAAACCACCAGGAAGUAAUUAAAGACAAGUCCAGUUUCUGUGCUUAGACAAGAAGAAUCAUUUAUAGAAUCAAAUAUGUGAGAAACACCUGACUAAUUUACUAUCACGUAGAAAAGGAACCCAGGAUUGAAGUUGAUUACAGUUUGAACAUGAAUGGGCAAUGCUGUGCUAUGGUAAAAAAAAGGGGGGGGAAAUGUCAUGCUGCGAUGACAGGAGCAUAGCCUGCAAAAUGCACAAGGCAUUCUUCAUUUUCACAGCCCUGGAAUGGCCUCAGCUAAGUUCGUUUUUGAGUCUUGCACUGCACAGGAGACCAGAACAGAGCAGUAUACUGACAUAUAAGAAAAGAUUACAAGGUCUGGAGUCGUUUAGACUAGAUUAUAAAAAACUGAAAAGAAACACAAUAGUUGUCUUCAAAUACAUAAAAAUCUGAUGCAAAUCCCCAGGGAAUAAUUUUGCAGACAGGACAGACAACAAUUGAUUAAAGUGCAGCAAAAAUGUUGGAGCAGACUUUAGGCAGGAGAUUUUUUAAACAAUGCAGACAGUUAGCCACAGAUUUCCACUGAACCUUUCAAUUUUUCCUUUAAGUUGAGCUUAGAAAAAUGCCUACUGGGAAUUAGAAGGGUCUCAUCAUCAUGUCUGGAGGUGUAGGGACAAGACUUCUUGGAGUUCCUUCUGGUCAUAUUUUGUAAUAUUCUCUGAUCUGUUAUUGGGAGGCUUUGGGAACCACAGCAGUAGCCUCAUUCCCCUUCUCAUCCUGGGGCUGACUUUGACUAGUAGCUUCCAGUCAUGCAUUCAGAGUUUCCCAGGGCCCCAACCAUCUCCUUGAGAUGUAAUAACCUCCACUCUGCAUUUUCUGAGAUGUCUGGGUUAUCUAGGAGCAGGGUGACUUCUCUCUUGGAUGGCAUAUUACACAACUAUACAGAUCCCCCCUUUAUACAUUGCCAAGGUAUUACACAAGUAUCUUAGCAGUCGGCUGUAUUUUGCUUUCCUGACUAUUUCCCUCAGUGGGCAUCCCAGAUAGUAAUUUCCUGGGGUCUCGGCAAGCUGCAUGGUCACAGAGCGGUAGUCCCAAGGUGACAUAUUAGUUCUCUCAUUCUAAUAAAAGCAACGACAAAUAUAUAUGUACACACACAGCAUAUAUACACAGGGUAGAUUAUUUUUCGUAAUAUAAUCUCACCUAAAUAUUCUUCCAAGGCUACAGCUUUCCAAGGUCUAAAAUCUGUCAUUUUAUAGAAAGGACUAUUGAAAUCAACAUGGAAAUACAGGUGUUUCUUACCGGUAUGCAAACAAGAGGGGAAUUAGCACGGAUAGUAUCUGAAAGCCAGCUAAACCCUCUGAUACCAAAAACCAAUUGUAAAUUAAUUGUAAUCUUCCAUUGUCUGAACUGUUUUAAAGUGGUAGCCUCACAGCCUUUGUGUGCCUCUGUAUGCAUUGAUAAAUCUUUUGCAUCUUACAAAGAUUUAUUUCUUGUACCAGCCUGAUGUCAUCUAGGCUGCAUGGAAGGCUGCUGGAUUUCCCUACAUGCAAGCAGCAGACACAUGUUUCUGGGUAUAAUGACCUUCAUUCUAGAUUACAGGGAACAUCUAAACAAAACCAAGCAUGUGUGUCCUCAACACCAGUCUUCAACAAAUCAAGUAAAACCAACUUCCUUCUCCCAGACAUUCUUAAAGUUAAAAGGCAUGGCACUGACUUAAGUUAUGGAUUAGGCAUAAAUUAUAUAAGACGAUUAAAAAAAUUUAAGAAUAAACACUAGAAGACCAAAAUGAAUGCUACUUAUCUGUGGACAGUAUAGAAAAUAUAUCAAACAUGGGACACUUUAGCUUGUUGCAGCCACAUAAUUUUUUUGCUCUUGGCCUUCUCAUUUUAAAAUAAAACUACAGCAUGGUUUCAGACAGUAGGAGGCAGUGAGAAGUGCUUCUGCAUACAAUCUGCCUUUCGUUCCUAGGUUAAGACGUUCUUCUCUGGAAUGAAUGAUUUUUCUCCUGAGAGUGUUUCCUGUACUAAUAAGAAAAACAGGGGAAAACAGAUUGCGAGAGCUUAAUAAGCUUUUUUUUGGUUUGUGCUUUAUUUUAUACAUUCCAUGCCAAAUUUUGUCCUCACAUGAAUUCUUGAAACCUUUCUGAUUUCACAGGAACAUAUUAACUAUAAAAUAUUAUUAUUAUAUAAUAAUAUAGUAAUUAUAUAAUAAUAAUAAUAAUAAAGGAUUUUUUUUGUUCAUAGUGUCUAUAAAGCUUCCUUCUGUAUAAAGCACUUUAAACAUGGAAUGGCUGCUGAAGCAAAUUGACUAGAAUGGUUGUCAAUUUUACGCUGCCGCCUUCCCACCUGAAAAACACUUCUGGUGCCCUACAGAGACAUGAGAUGAAGGAGGAGAGGUAGGGGUAGAAAUAUGUGCAUGCACACACCUAAAGGAGAAGGCUUUAAAAAAGGAGAGAAAGUGAAAUAGUACUCUGUACUGUCUCCUGUACAUAUUUGCCUUGCUGGGUGGGGAGAGGUAUUUUCACAGGAUGGAAUGUAUCAAGUGAAUGCACAUUGAGUUAAAUUCAGUUCUUAUCUGCACUAGGACGUUAGCUUCAAAUAGCUUUGCUUAUGGACCAGAGAAUUCCCAGGGUACAUCUGAAGAAAAUGAAGAUUCCUGAAGAAAAUGAAGAUUCCAAGUUCAAAUCAGUUUUUGAAAGGUACAUACCUACUUAGUGUGCUGCUAUACUGUAGUUUUCAGGGAGAGAUUUUUUGCUGAGCUUAAUCUAGCAUCUCUCUAAUGAAUAUGUUAUAACCAUACCAGUUUGCAUCAGCUAUAUUUCUAGCUCUGUAUCAUCAAACCAAUCUACAAGCUUUAAUAAAUAUUGACCACAUGUCUUUAGUACAAAUAAAACUAUGUCCUCAGGAAAGAAGGUACUUGACAGCUCUGGCCUGCUGUAUUCGUGAAGAUUUGCCUGUGAAAGUCUAUUCUAGAACAUAAUCUUCAGCAUAUUUGGUAAAACAGAAGUGCUGUUAAUGCAGCAGUUACCAUUGGCAGUGUGAAAAUGGAUGCAAUAGGAACACACACCAGGAAAUUAUGUUGAUUAUGCAAGGUCUCCGUCUUUUGCAGUAAGAGUAGUGUAGUGAUAUGAAAUAAAAUUGAACAGCUGUUUCUCUGAGCAUUUGAAAGCUAGUGGAAUGUAAGCUAAGAACAUCUUCUGUGUCCAAAAGGCAGACUACUUACUGUUGUUCUUCAAUAUUCUGCUUUUAUUUUCAGGUACGUAACAGAAAGGUUACAUACAAUACAGUAUGACAACUCCAAAUGUUACUGUCCAGAAGCAGGCUGGUAUGCUCUCUGUGGUUCAUAUUUAUUUUUCUACUUUCCAUUCUGCUUCUUCUACUUAUAAAUGAAUAUACUGUAAUAAAGAUACUGCAAUAGAGAUAAUAUUUUGGCUUCAGAACUCUCGCAUACAACAAUCUUGUUUGCCAUACCGGAAGAACUGGGAUCCUAGAAAUUUUAUGAACAAAUUUGUCCCAUUCUGAUUUUGCAAUCUGACCACUGCUAAAUGAAGAAGUUAUCUCUUGCACCAGCAAGAAUAAAAUAACCCAAAUCUCCUCCCCCACAUUCAAACAAAGCACUAAAGGAGGCUUGCAAAAUGCUAGACUCAUGCAUUCUUUUUGUUUUAACCAUAUAGUCAUAUCCAUUUAGGAGAUCCAUUUAGUACUGCAGGUCUUUAUGAACAUCAGAGAGGCUAUGGAAUCUCCUUCUCUGGAGAUAUUCAAAACCCACUUGGAUGCUUUCCUGUGCAAGCUGCAGUAGGAAACCUGCUUCAGCUGGGGUUUGGACUGGGGGAUCUCCAGGUGUCCCUUCCAGCCCCUAUGGUUUGGCGAUCUAAGCAAGCAACAUCCUGCACUCAGUUCUCUGUUGAAGCUGGAAUGCUGGAAGAGAUGCAUCACAGUGGUAUUUUCCAUCAUCACAUAGGACACCAAAAAAGAGAAAGCUUUCUAAUAGGCCUUGUAUAAAAAGCUGAAGAAAUAUUGACAGUCUUGUAAUACUGUUUUCAAGGAUUAUUUUCUGAUGUCAGAGCCUAAGAAAUGCUUUAACACCUCUCUCAGAACAACACAUCAUCAUUAGGUUCAUAUAAACAUUGUUAUUUUAGAUACACUGAGGUUUUCUGUGUACCAGUUGUGGUGACAGUCAUUGCAGUGUUGUCAUUUAUUGUCUUUUUUCAUCUGAAAAAGAUUUUGUUUGAUGGUGGCUUGAGCCCCUUUAGGAACAUUUUUUCUGUGUUUCUCAUUGGUUGGAGAUAAGGAGAACAUCCUCAGAUACUAUAAGUUGUCAUAGCUCUAUCAACUCAUAAGCUGUUUUAGAUGAUCUGACUUACUAAUUGUAAUCAUUUACAUUUUUUGCAAUCAGUAAUGAUCUUACAUUCCAAUAAUGUGAGAUUUCUAUCAUCAAAGCAUUAAAGUUAUACAUUGUCUUUGGAAGAACAUUAGUUUUUAUGUUUAUUUUCAUUCAUAACAGAAAUGUAUAAUCAAUUAUUUCUACCUAGUUCAUUUUAAUUAGGUAAAUGCCUGAAUCUCCAUUAAUUAUGACUAAAUCUUUAAUUUUGUUAGACAGAUAUGAUCUAAAUACAGCAGGACCUUGUUCAUUGGAACACUCUUUAAUGGAACUUCUUUUUUAUCCAAAAAUUGGACUGUGUCCCAAACUGCAACAUUUGUAUUGAACAUUCAUUAUUUAUGAGUAGCAUAUUCCCCCCUUCUUGAUCAGUUUAACAGGAAAUUUAAAUGUUUUACGCUAAAUACUCAAUUCUCUCUGAAUUCUAUAAUGACUACCACAUUCCUUAGCUUCUAGUUGAUAACAGUAUUAUCUAGUAUCUGUCAUAGUUUUUUUAUUUUUCAUUUGAUGUCUCUUUUACUCCACGACACUUGAGAUGUAACCUUACCGUAAGUCAGUACAAGAAUCUUGCGUGCACUUUGCAAAGUUAAUAUUUUACUAAAACAAUUGGAAAAUUAAAUAGAUAAUUUUAAGAACACAUCUAUUUGCAUCAGUUUCAACUGUUCGCUUAUGAGAUUCAUUUCAGUUUGUGUGAAUUAUGCCAAGGAAACUCAGGCACAGGACAGGAGUCACAUCAUACUUUGGAGUCCACUUACUCUUUCUCUUGUGUAUUCUUUAUACCCUUGGUCAACAACUUUGAAGAAAGUGAUAUGUGUGUGAUUUAAAAUGUUACAUGGCUCAUUAACUGCACUAUAGCUGACAAUCAGAUUUCAAAGACUUGUUUCUUAAGUUAGCAGUUUUUUAGCACAGCCUCAGAUACUUCAGACCCCAGAUGUGCAAAGGAAUAAAAGAAUGAGGGCACUCUUUCCUGCUCCUGUUACCAUCCUCCCCGAGGAGCAGCAGUUAUCCUUGAAAGCUUUUCUGCUAAUGCAACUUUAAGUGCAAGGAGAAGCCUCCUCAGCUGCCCCUUGGCAUAGGAGAAUGGAGGAGGGCUGGCAGUAAUGUAGGGAGAUAAGGCAAAGGAAAGAUGCUGGCAGUGAUUUUAUCUUCAGUUCCAGAGUUCAUGCACUCACAAGCUCUAAAACCUGAGUGGAUGUUGUAUGUACCUGAUGUACACAGCACAGUCUAUGUCAGCUAAAACAGUGAGUUAACAUAACUCUAGCAAGGGCUCAGUGGAACCAGAAGAUGAUGCCACAAUGAAAAGCAAACAAAUAGAAGUGGGCUUGUGCCUGCCGAAGGAGGGGAGCUCAUGUGCAGCUGCACUAACCAGGAAAAUGCAGCUUACUAGUUACAACAGACUGCAGAGCUGAGAGAAAAUGGUUGGUGUGGCUGCUCCAGCAAGGAAGCCUGAGCUAUGGUCUAUUCUGUGAGGAGCUCUGAGGCAGUCAGCCAUCCUGCAUUAAUGUGAUACAUUGAGAGUCCAGGCAGAUCAGAACUGCAGUGUUUGCACCAGAGUUAGUCUGGCUUCCAACAGAGGGAGAAGUGAAUAACAAGCCAAUCAACAUGCAAAACACUGAGCAGAGCAGCGCAGCACACAGCCACCAGCCAAAAGCGAGAUUAACACGUGGCUGCAGUCAGGACAGUGACUCCUUGCUCUUGGCUUUCUCAGCUUUGCACGUCUGCUCCUUGUAUCUUCUGAAUCAUCUUUCUAGUGUUUACUGGUCAAAAUAAGUUGCUAUCCUUGUCAGCACUGCAUGAUGAAUACAGUAGGACUAGCUGAUGCUCGCUGCAAGUUCCCAGCUAAGGAAGAAGCUUUGCCCCUUUUGCCACUCUGGAGCUGCAUCCAGAGGGACCACCCCCAUCCCGAGGCUGGGCCAUGAAUGCCAUAACACGGGAAUGCAGCUGGCCCUGCCAACUGGGCACAGUGAGUGGUAAAGAGAAACCUCUUCCAAAAUGUAAAUGUGCUUGCCUGGCAUUGCUGGGGAACUUGGGUUGCCUUAUACAGAGUGUGAUCCUCCCUACCCCGUGCUCAAGUGGGACCUUCUUAACUUCAGUGGAUGCGACUCCUGGAGGUCAUUUUCCAGCGACAAUUAUUUUGGGGCUGGAAAUGUGUUUGUAGAAGGAAGCUCUCCUUUGUCUGUUGGAAAGAGCUGGCACCAGCAGCUGAGCUGAGACUGCUGGCUGCUUUCAGAUAGAGCACACUGCAGAUUUAGGAGGCAGCAAACUUUAGGCACUACUAGCCUGCUAUGGAUUUAACCAGAAAUUCAAAAAUGAAAAUCUCUGUAUUGCAUUACAAAUCCCCUGAGGCAUGCAGCAGGCUUUUUGUGUUACAGGUGUUUUGAUGGUUUUUUUUUUGUUGUUGUUGUUUUGUUUUUUUGGUUUUUUUUAAUAACUUUUCCAGAACUUCCAUUAGCUACUGUAAGAUAACUGCCCAUAGUUUGGCUCAGUUCUCCAACAGUCAGGUGUCUACAAGUCUGGAAGAACUGAUUUUUGCUUGUGUCAGUUGGUGCCAUUCUGUGAAACAUGCAAAAUGUUUUUGCUGUAUGUUUUCCAAAAUGGAACAUUUUACAGUCCUGCUCUAGUGCCAGGAUACCCUUACAAAAGGAGCUAAUCUUCACUAAUGAUUGUGUAAGAACAAAAUAAUAAAAAAAAAAACCCACUGUAACUUCUCUGAAUUUAUGGCAUUACAGUCUUUCCCAUGGCAACACAGAGAAUCAGACAGUUCAGUAGCAAAGUACAAACUGGAAGAAAAGGAAAACAAUGACCAAAAAAAAAAAAAAAAAAAGAAUAAACAAUGUAAUUUUCUCUAAAAGUAUAAGAACUAAGUAAUAAAAGAAAAUCCCUGUAAAUGGUAGUUUGUUUGUAAAGAAUACACUUCAGUCUAUGUUCAUUUCAAUCUAUUAAAUUACCUUGCCUAAAACUUUACAUAAAGCCCUUUUAUAUUACAUUAUACUGCAUAGGAAAGCAUUCAGGUCUAAUACUAUUACUGAUAAAGAAACCAAAAGCAUAUUUGGAGAGACUGAAUGUCUAUAAAGAGCAGACUAAGCAAGCCUCUUGAGAAACAAAACUCCCAUAUCAGAUUAUUGUGUGGAAAAAUAUAGCCUGCUCUUCUCAAUUACAGCACCGAUUGGGGUUAUUUAGAAAAGAAGUCAUUCUGAUUUUCUAUCAUAAAAUCACUUUUCUUAAGCCUGUAAACAUCCAAGAAAUUAAAUUUUUAGAUAAGAUCCAUUUUGCAAAAAGAUAUUUAUGAAAGGAUUCAGUUAAUGAGUAGAGAGAGUAGAGAGGAUUUAAUAACAUAAUAACUGACUAAUGCUAGCACGCAAUAAGUAUGCACAAUUAGAUUCCUGUACAGAGCUGGUGUUUUACCUCAUGUCCUCUGACAGUUCCUUAUAUAAGCUAAGUUGCUUGUGUCCAUCCUUCCUACAGUAGUGAAGGCUGUAGCAGAAAACUUCUAUUUAGGUCAUAACAAAAUAUUUAUUAAAAAAAAAGUUAUUAAAAAUAUUUAAUAGUGAUUGUCUGGGUAACAGCUUGACAGCUGAAUACAAAAUCAUACUGCUGACUUAUGGCUAUUAACAUAUGAAGCACACAAGGAAGUUAGGUUAUUUAGUGUAAACACAGGCCAAUUCAGUAGUGCCAAUGAUAUGAAAUACUAAAGUUUUCACAUUCAUAUUAUGGCUCAUACUAGCCUCAGAACUCUGCCGAGCCCUGUAGGUGAGCUACUGAAGUUAAUACGAGUCUUUUUAUUACAAGGCUCUUUGAGUCAAACCCUGGAAUUAACAUCAUUCCUGGUUGUGCAAUUUACCUCUGAACAAAAAAUGAUCAAAAUGUUACCCCAAGUCUGGCAAGAGAGAAAAAGAGGUAGUGGACUAAAAUCAGAAACACUAACACUGCACAACUAUAUCCCAUAAAACUAGAACUGCCACUUUACUACUUGAAUCUUUCCUAGUGAGAUUUAAUUUAAUUUUUAAGGACUUCAGGGCAGGUUAAUGAGGGUCUAUUUCUGUGGUAGACAAGAAAGUAUUUAAAGUGGGUCAAGUGCAGACCCUAGACAGACCACCACAAUACUUCAGGGCUUUAAAAUCCUGAACCAAACUUCCUAUGUUUGCAACAUUUGUACAUUCUGGCUCUUAGAACUGAUGCUGCCAGAGGUCACAGCCACGUGGUGCAGUGUUGUUGUAGCCCUGUACUGGGGCAGAGUAGUUGGGUUGUGUUGGAAGAGGCCAUACUCAUGGGUUAGCACACCUGGUAUGUAGUCAGGUUACAUUUCUGUCUGUACAGUGGAAUAUGAAACACAACAGAAGCAGUUAAAAAGUAGAAUAGGGAUAAUACACAUAAAUGCAAGCAGAGCAGUCUCUGAAAUCAGGUAUAUAUGACAAUCAAGAAUCAGACCCUUCACAUUUAAACCAUCUGUAAGAAAGCAAAGUCAGAUUGGCAGUGUGACCCCUUCCACAGGCAGUUCUCAGGCACCACUAGUAAGUCUCUGUUGGAGCUAGCUCCCAUACAACCACAAAGUAAUAGUUCCCACCAGCUGCAGCUGGAGAGAUGGUGUGUGCCCAUCCAGAAGACAAAGAGCCAUGCAGCCCUACUCAGCAUGGGUAAAAACCGAAAGAGAAUUUUAUUGAUGUAUGUGCCUGACAAAAAGUUAGCACUUAAAUAUCUAUGUAAUUGCAUGCAUUUAUAUUUGUGGCAGUGUCUUACUGCCACUGCAUCGCUAUUAAAAUGCAAAACAAGUGCAAGCAUGUUAUGUUUAUUAAACCACUAAAAAAAUGUUCAGCCAGCAUUAUGACUUAGGUUUCAAAAGCAUAGAAACAGGCAGGGAAAAGAAAGGGGAGGAAUCAGAAAUCAAAUUCUCAAUUUUCUCUUUGAUAACUAGGGUAGAGUAUACAGUCCUUUGAGAUGUCUGUGGUAAUGAUCUUGCCUUUUAGAAUAAAUGAUCUCAAAGUGUGCUGCAAAUUUAACAGUUUUACAUCAGACAUAAGUGCAAGACAACUGCAUAUGUGUCUGAGAUGUGCUAGGAAAAUGGUCACAGCAAGGGAAGAAUACCUUCUUUCCCCACCCCAAGAAACUGCCAAUCAGUCAUAGGUGUGCAGAAUGUAAUUAUGCAGACAGAAAUUAGGCCAGUUCACUAUGGCUAAUUCCUUGUCUUUUACAACAAGUGCCACAGGAUCUUUAAUGCCACAGAUGAUUAGGUUGUCAGCUUUAUGUAUCGUCUGCAAGUUGGCAGCUCUAGUAGCUUGCCCAACACCAUGUCCAGUUCAGAGCGCUAGGAUAAAUAUUGGCUGGCAGGGUGACAUGCAACAUUUCUCCUCAUUUCGCCCUGACUCCAUGUUCCCCAUUGGUAGAUCUGCAAAUCUAGUGCUUUCUCAUUCAUGCUUUCAGCUUAAAGUUUCUUUUUAUUAAAUCAGCCCUUCCAUCAUCAUCAUUUAUGUCCUAUUCAUACAUCAUUUCUAGCUAUUGUAAUACCUCUUCUCAGGAUUGAAAUAACUCUGACAUCAGCUUGUGCAGUCUGAACAAAGAGUCCUAAGGCAUCAGAAUACCUUUAUCUAAAAUAUACUCCUAAAUAAAUGAAAGGAAAAUAUUGUUUAUAUUCUUUUUGUGUUUUGUGAAUAAGAAUUAUGCAGGAAGAGAGCUAUUCAGCACUGAGUGCUUUCUGGCAGUAGCCAGAUGCAGGCCCAGCAGCUGGGGGAGGUUGCUGUGACUUCAAAAUGAGCACUGUUCCAAACUGUCCAGUUAAUCUCUUAUCUCCAAAUUUUGGAUGAUAACUAGGAUAUUGGCUACCUGAUAACACUGCAGUUAUCUUAGUUUUUAGAUCUCUCCUCUAAAUUCAAGUGUUAACUUUGUUCUGUUGCUCAUCUACCUUUCUGCAUAAUGUACUUGCCAGUUCCAUAACUGCUUCUUUUACAAACUUUUAGUCAGUCAGUUGUUGUAAGUCUAGUGUGAUAAUCAUACCUAGGUUUAUGAUGUGAAGAACAGAAUUGCAGAAUGGCAGCAUUUCUUUGCAUUAGAACUGUUAGAUGUUGUGCAGCAUCCAGAAGUGGCUGCUGUGUAUCAUAAGAUACAAGUACUCCACUGGGAAUCCAGAACACGCUUAAGCCACUAACCAAAGGUAAUUCUUAUACUCCAAAGAUGUUUUUUUGUUGUUGUUUUGUUUUUUUGUUUGUUUGUUUGUUUGUUUUUGCAGGGGCACUUUUUGAGAGAAUGUGUAAAAAUGAUGUUUUCAAAGUAAAGCUGGGCUCAUACUUGGAAAUUCUUCUUUAAAAAGCAAAACUCUGUUACACUGCUGGCAUUGUGGUGGAAUAGUGUCAGCAGAGUAUGGGUGAUGUCCAAGAGAAACUCCUGUUAUGUCACUUCCAGUUUCCAGCUUUCUCCUUCAAUUCACGUUGCUCUUCAGCAACAUGAGGAGAGCUGAAAGCAGGAAGGCUCUGCCCACUGCAGGUGGUGGCAGAGGGGACAUUCGCUAGUGUUUUCUGAGGCUCCUUUCCAGCUGAGGUGAGUUUCCCACGUCUUGGUGCAUCUUGUUGUAGAAUGCUUGAAAAAGACAAAAUGAGAAGCACUGAAUUCUAUAUUCUUUAAUAUAAUAUGCAGUGGCCCAACUCUGUUGUGUAAGUGAUGGAAAACCCUUACUUGCAACAGGUCUGAGAAAAGGGAAUGAGGAGAAACUGGAAUUCAGGUAGAUUUUCAAAUGACAUUAAAGUUGUGUUUUGUUUCAGUUUGAAAGUGCAUGUUGUAUGUUAGCUUUGGAUGAAUACAAAUUCUAAGACAGGAACAUUCCAUUCAUGCUUUUAGAAUUUUAGGUACAAAUUUCAAAUGGAUCUUUGGAAACGACUUUCCCAAACCUGUCUGUUGGCUCCUGGCACUGAGAGUCUCACUCCAUUCAAACCUGUUCUUUCUUUUCCCUGUGCUCCAUCUUGCUGCGUGUUUCCUUGUGUUCUGUGAUGUAUCAGUUAUAAAACUGUACAUUUUUACCUUGGUAUCCUGCCUGAAGGUGGUUCAUAGCAUGUAACAAGGCUGACUCUGUGCAAAAGGGACAACCCAUUUCUUGUGGGCAGGACACAAGCAUUUUUAAUGCCUAUCAAUUACUCUCACUUAAGAAAGAUGAUAAUAGUGGCUAAACUCAAUGGAGCUGGCGCUUUGGCUCUCAGCACUGAAAUGAUACUGCAUAUGUGUGUAUAUAUAUGCAUAUGUUUAAAGAGUAUGUAGAAGAACAGACCUUGUUUCUGAUAUUUACUACCUGCAUUUCUUUCUUUCAAAAAGGCAACAAUUAAUUAUUUGUUUGUUUUUUUUUACCAUUAAGAAGUUGUAUGGCAAUGGCUUGAUCCAGACUGCACAGGCACCCCUUUUCUAGGUGGUCUGAACACAGAAAGAUGCUUUCAGAUUUGUAGGAAAGGCUAUCCAGAAUGGAGACUAGUAGUGCCAUUCUCCUUUUGCUGGAGGAGUUCCCAUCUGUGAUUUGGCUUUGUGUGAUAACUUAAGCAUAGAUGUAGAAACACUUCUACACCGGAGCUCUGGAAGUAGGCUAGCAGCAUUCAGUCAUUGUUACAUGAUGAAGCCAGGCUAAGCGUGCCAAAGGCACCCUUCCCCCAACUCUCUCUGCAGACACACACAGACAGGCACACACGCAGUAUUAUCUCUGUUUGCCUUACUAAUGUCAUUGUGCAAUAUUCCAUUUUCCUCUCUCUUCUUGUCCCUAGGGUCCAUACCAAACCCCUGCUGGACCUUUUAUCCACCCACUAAGUCCAGAUUAAUUUAUUAUACUCCAUCUAGUUUUUGAACUGUUUCUUCUAAAUGUGUGAUGGGGCUUAGGGCUGUGCAAAGGGGAUUCAAGGAUAAGGGGAGAAAACAUCCUCAGGCUCUUGCUUACAGUGAGAGGUUGCAUUACAGUGUGAACACCUCUACUAUUAUUAUGCAUAGCCAUGGAAGAUGAUGCAGGCAGAAUAGCUGAUUAGAGCUCAUAUUUAGCUACAUUAACAUCUCAAGUCCAUUUUUUUCUUGUAAAUCUGAGUUCAUCAUAAUCUAAAAGCAAAUAUUUGCCUUUAGUAUCACUGAUUUAUGCAUAGAAUACAGUGUACUGUUCAUUUCCUUCUUAAUUAUUAUUUUUUUAAACAGCUUCCAGGCAGAAAGUCAAAGCCUGCUGUGUUUUAUAUUAUACUCUGCAACUCAUUUUCUUGUUGUUGCUGUUGUUUUUAAUAAAACAUCUAAUUAAUCCAUGCAAUCUGAAUACUUUCUGCUUAAACUCAAAGUGCUCAUGAAAGAAAUGGAAGGAAAUGUUUUUAGUUUGUUGUACCUAUGAAAGUAAUAGGUAGAUAAAAAGCGUAAGGAGAUGAAUCCUUCCUCACUCUAUGUCUAGCAUAUCAAUGGUGACUCUUGAUAAGGGUAACUACAAGUGGAAAAUGUCUGAAAAAGUUCUUAAAUGCUGCAGAAAUGACACUCCUAACUUUUGCCAUCUCACUAUUGUGCAUUGUAUUGCAUAAGAUGAACGUGAUGGUCUUGCAUUUGUAGCAAUAAACCUGCUAUUUCUUUUCCAUUUGUGGGAAGUCUCAGCUUGGCUUUUUUAUAGAAACCUGGUGUAAAGGAAACUUGAAGUUCUGUUGUAGCUCAGGCCUGUUUCUCUUGUGUAGAGCACUAUGAAUGACUGCUUAUGGUAGAAGUUUAUCUCUUUCUGAUUCAGCACCUUCUCCUGGAGAGAACACAGACAAGGGGCAAAGGGGCUAGCUGUGCCCCUCGAAAUUAAGAACUUCAGGCGGCAAAGUCUGAAAUAAAGAAAAGGAACUAGAGGAUUGUGCCCUCUGAUGAAUUAUCACCAGCACAAUUUUUAAUUGAAUGUUUGUCAGGCUUUUUCAUGAAAUACCAGCAGCCCUUUAAUAUCUUUAAAUUAUUACCUAGGUAAUUUCCAGUAACAAGGAAGUUGAAAAUCAAUGUAGAAAGUAUUACCAUAGUAAAAGUAAAAAGAUGUUUCCAAAUGAUAAUGUAGAAAACCUCACAAGAGAAAGCUUACUUGCCUAUGAAAUAGAGUCAGAUCCAAAGCUCACCUUUGAGGCAGUGUCACCUCUGCAGCAUGCUCUUGCUUUUACUUUUGCACCAACAAAAAAUCAUACAUGGCUUCCCUCUAGCAGAGGAUUGGUCUCAUUAAAAAUAACAACACUGUGUUCUUAAAAUAGGUAGGCUGCUCCAAAAGUAAUGCCUCCUAUUUCUUUCCAUGAAAACUAAAACAGAUGCAAAGUGCACAAUAACACUGUUUGAUAGAGCAAAUUCUCAGCUACAAAACACUAUUUUUCAACACAGUCACCAUGAUUAGCUGUGCAUUUUCACCAGUAAUGAACAAAAGCCUGUAAGCCAUGCUUGUGAAAAUCUGCACCAGAGGAGAUUUCUCUCCUCAGGCAGACCACUGUCGCCACUGCCCAGACCUUACUAUGCUCACAUCCACUGCUUGGUCUCCAUCAAUGUUCAGCAAGCAUCGAUGGAUAUCAGUGGGUCCAUUUCUUCCUCGUGGAGGAAUUCAAUUUUACCCUUUGUGUCAUAUAAUCUCCCACAUCAGACACCACUGUCAGACUGUCCCUCUGCUGCCAUCUGUCACACAGCAACAAAAUGCAGUGGGAUAUUGGUGGAAAGGUUCAACCUCUACUGCCACACCACCACCAUCUGCCUCCAACAUCAUGGGCCAACAUCAUCAUAUAGAAGACACUACUUUUGGAGCAGCCCUCAUAUAUUUUUGUCUAUUUCCAUAGAAAAUAAAACUAUUUGUAAAAAAAAAAAAAAAAAAAAAAAAAAAAAAAAAAAAACACUAUGGAAUGGUUUACAACAGGAAUGUUUUCUUCUUACAACAAUGUGUUUACAUGCAUAUUUGUAUCGUGUGCAAAUUAGCUGAGUUUAUGAGCACAUGGCCCUAUCACAUUUUGAAACUUUCCAAGCAUUCCUUCUUCUAUUUUUUUUCAUUAAGCUUUUCCCUCACCUUAUAGAUUAUAUCUGUAGUAGAUUUUAACUGCUAUGCAAUAAUAUUGUAUUAUCUUAGCAUCAGCAGUGUCACAGAGCAUUAAGAGAUGAAGUAAAUCCAGCUAUUCCUGAAAAGAUGAGUAGCACACAAACCUGUAGAGUUGAUGUAGACAGUUCAUUUAUGUCCAUCUAGCCAAAAGCAGGUAUUAUUUUGUGAGGGAGCUAUGAGGGGGAGGGAAGAUGUAAAAUUACAGAAUAGCAGUUGACCUAAAAUAGGGAGUUGGUAAGAUUUCACUCACCUGCCAAGUAACUUCACAUGGAGACUCCAAAAGAGAUUGCAGAUGACACCAGAAUUGUUGUUCAAAAGGUUUGUGUUUUGAUUUACACAAGGACGAAAGGGUGAAUGCUGGACUAUUUACAAAUUCAGCUGUGCCCUAUUUCAGUCUGAGACAAAGUCACACUGCAUAAAGAGAAUGCUAUAUGCCUGAUUCAGGUAAUUUCUGACAGUUUCCAUUCCUCUCCUCUCAGCUUGCUUUGGUAGAAAGCAAAUAACUUACCAGUGGUUUGGCAAGUUUGUUACCUAAGCUUACUGCUUGAGCAAGUACAACAAAAGCUGGUAAUUUUCCAACACUUGAAGCAUGUCUGUUUUUUAUUUGAUGAGCAGGAAAGCAGGGUUUUGUGAUCUUUAACACCCUGGAAGAGCAACUGGCCAAGGUUUAAAACUGGCCCAGCAGCUGGCAAGUCCCUCGGGUCCUGGUCCCAGCUGCAGAUCAAAUAGGCUGCUGCCUGGGAGGGAGCGUGGCCUGUGCUGCAGGGAAAGGAAGGCUCUUCUGGGCUCUUAUGCAGCAGAGUAUUGCUACCUAACCUGCAGAAGAUAGGUGAUGCUGGCAGCUGCCCUGCUCUUGCACUGAAAAUAGCAUCUUGUUCUAGAGGUUUUUACACCAGAAUGCUUGUAGCUGACACCUUGCAUGACGAGCUUAUGUGUGAUGCUGCCGGCUACUGACGCACAAGGUAAAGGUGUUCCUGUUAUUGAUGCUAACCUGACAUCAUCCUUCUUUUGGGUAGCACACAGCUUAUACCAGUCUGGGGUUGUUUUGUAAUUCCUCAUCUGCAGAACUGAGUUCUGCUGCUUUCUGCAAUCUUUGCUGUAUAAUAGGGCAUAAGAAAUCUCUGGAAGUCUUCUGCUGCAAAAACAGAGAAAACCCUUACAAAGGUUCACCAUGACCUAUUGUCCUGCAUGAGGUACUGCACAUCUUCCCUGUGUAUUGGUAUGUCUCUUUUCUGAAGAGAAAAAAAAAUAAGAGAAAUCCUAAAGCACAUCAGACUUCUUUGAUUUCAGUCACAAGUGCACAUGUGAGAGACAUUUGCUAAUGGGACUCAGUCUAAUUUUGGAAAAAAUACAUAUCUUAUCUUUCUAAUUCCACUAGAAAAAAAUAAAUCAAAGAGGUCUUUUAACUUACUAUAUUAUCUUUACUUAGACACUUAAUUUUACAUUGAUGUGGGUCUUGGUCUUCCCAGGAGUCAUACCCAGGAGUGACUGCACAGAUGCCUUCAGGGAGGAUUGCUGUUUGCUGAUGUGAUGCUAGGGACAAACAGUCCCAGCAGCCAGCUCUGACUUCACAGCACAUGGCCAGAGUCAGAGCAGCACCAUGCUUUGAUCUUCUGCAAUGUGUCACCUUUGCUAAGGGUAAAUGUGAGUCAGUUAUUGAAUGUCAUUGCUGAAAUUACUUUUCUUUCAUUAAAACAGAAAUGCAAGCUUGUAUGAAAUGGUAAAGUAUGUACAAGAACACAGUGUUUUAACAUGUUUGAAACUAUUUUUGAAGUAUACCUAACGCAAAAUGUUGCAAACUAAUCCUGUAAAGUUGUUUAUUAACAAUAAAUAUUCUAAGCAAAGCUGUUGGAAUUGCUGCUUCACAGUAAUCUGCUGAAUCGAAAAUUCCUAUACAAACAAUGUCUAUUCAUUUCAAGGUAACAGUAAAAUCAGCUAGAUUCAAUAUCCCACACUCAAAAUUCUACUUUGCACUGGUACAGGGAAUACUUAUUUUAAGCACAUCCAUAAAAUACAUAUUUUAAAUGAUAUUUUGCAGUUCAGUAGUUUCUCUAACCCAAGGAACCCAAAGUGCUUCUCAGAUGGAGGUGAAGUUAGCUUCAGAGUAGUCCUGUAAGCACAAUUAUUUUCAUUUUACAUACAGAGAAAAUGAGCAGUGAAAGCUGAUGGUUUGUUCAAGGUUGCACACAGGUGCUGGCAUAAAGAACAGACCCUGCACUUCUUGCAUCCCACUUCUAUGCCUUAACCAGAGAGCCCCCAGCUGGAUUUCCACAUUAUCCUGUGGUUGAGCAGCUUUCAUUAGAUCAGUGGAGAUUCAGGAACCAUUAGAUUCAGGAGAUUCAGAGCUAAUUAAUGCUCUGGCACUUCUCAAAGCCUCCAUGGUCUUUACCUCUGUUGAUUCCAUAGGGCUUGAUGACUUGCAGUGAAGACUCUGAAGAGAUGACAGAGAAAGACAAGUAAAACUUGGGAACUCACUAACAUUGUCUGACAAAAGUAGAGGCCAUACUCAGAAACAUGUGUUAAAGUUUUACAGGCUUCCCAUUCUUCUUCAACACUGGACAUGAAAGCUUCAAAGCAAGACCCCAUCAUGUUAAUAGAACCUUGAAACCUGAUAAAUUAAAAUUGUUCCUUAUUACAGUCCUCUGCAUCAUCCCUAUCACACUGCUUAAAGUGAAUUGCCUUGAUUCUCUUUUAAAACUAAACAUUUUCAGAUUAAAGAAAGAAAACAACCCAGCAACCAACAGGAUUCCUGUGUAAGUCACAAGGAGUCAAGUAUUACACCCUGCCACCUGUGCUUCUAAAUAAUUAGGGAGGGCCAUAAGCUGCUGCUGUUAGAUAAGGAUCAAUGCCUCCCAGAAGUUUGGGCUAAGACAUUUUAGUUCAAGUUUGUAACAUCUCCAAUUACAUCUCAUUGUAUUGAGAGGUUUUAACUGUUUCAACUUUUCUGCUAGUAAGCAGAUUAAUUAUGAAGACAAUAAAGAAGCUAAGUUAUUAACAGUGAUGGAUUUUGGAGCAGGGUUGUGAUUUUUCAGUUCAAUUAACAAUGGCUUGUCAGGAAUGUUUGGACAUCAAGAAGCCGUACGUUUCAAAGAGCCAGAAGAAUGCUUGUCAUUAAAUUGUAACAUCUAAAUUUUCAAUAGUACUCAGUCUCUCUCUCCCCACACAGCAAAGGUUUAUUUUGUUUGCAUUUUACUUGGGUAUUUUGAUAUGACUCAACAACCCCCAAAUGGGUCAUCAUUAAUGGAUAUGGAUAUUCCCAACAGGGGUACUUUACCUCAUCAGAAUAUGUGUACAAAAAACAAGUUCUCUCUGAAACUAACUUAUAUUUUCCAUCAACUUCUAUGAAGGGUAGGCAGACAAUUCUUAGAAAUACAAUAUUUUGUGAUCUUAGGCAUUUAUAUGGCUGUAAUAUGUCAUAUUGGCAGGAAGUGUCGAUCUGCCUGGGGGUAGCAAGGUCCUACAGAGGGAUCUGGACAGUCUGGAUCAUUGGGCUGAAGCCAAUGGAAUGAGGUUCAACAAGACCAAGUGCUGGGUCCUGCAUUUUGGCCACAGCAACACUGGGCUACAGUCUUGGGGCAGAGUGGCUGGAAGACUGUGUAAAGGAAACAGACCUGGGGGUAUUGGUCAGUGCUCAGCUGAACAUGAGCCAGCAGUGUGCCCAGGUAGCCAAGAAGGCCAAAGGCAUCUUGGCUUGUAUCAGAAAUAGUGUUGCUAGCAGGAACAGGAAAGUAAUUGUACCUCUGUACUCAGCACUGGUGAGGCUGCACCUUGAGUACUAUGUUCUGUUUUGGGCCCCUCACUGCAAGAAAGACAUCAAGGCCCUGGACCGUGUUCAGAGAAGGGCAACAAAGCUGGUAAGGGGUCUGGAGCAUAGGCAUUAUGAGGAGCAGCCAAGAGUGCUGGGAUUUUUCACUAUGGAGAAGAGAAGGCUCAGGGGAGACAUUAUAGCUCUCUAUAACUACCUGAAGGGAGGUUGUAGUAAGCUGGGGAUCUGUCUCUUCUCUCAUGUAACUAGUGAUAGGACUAGAGGGAUUGGCCUCAAUCUGUGCCAGGGGAGAUUCAGGCUGGAUGUUAGGAAGUACUACUUUUCCAAGAGAGUGGUCAGGCACUGGAAUGGGCUGCCCAGGUAGGUGGUGGAGUCACUGACCCUGGAGGUGUUCAAGGAACGUUUGGACACUGUGUUGAGGGACAUGGUUUAGUGAGAACUAUUGGUGAUGGGUGGAUGGUUGGACUGGAUGAUCCUGUGGGUCUUUUCCAACCUUGGUGAUUCUGUGAUUCUAUGAUGUAUAUACAUGUAACAGCAGAAAUGGAAGAGUUUGGGGUUUUGUGUUUUUUUUGGGGGGGGGGAACAGGGGGGAAGGGAGGAAAAAACAUAAAUAUAACUCGCUCUUUAAAAAUCUGUGUAAAUUAGUUUGGGGAACAAAGAGAUGAACAUGUUUUACACUAUUAAUAAGGCUUAAUGUAUAAAGUAUUAAGCACCUCUUCAGCACUUAGAGUAGCACAGCUAAUGCUUUAACUUGCUUGACAUUGGAGCCUUUUUAUCACUUAUAUCCCAGCAUAUUUACAAAUUGAGAAGAGGCUUGUUGAAUCUUGUUCUGUGACAGACUUCUGAAGUAUUCAGGCUGGUAGCUUGUAAUUACUUCAUCCUGGCUCUGAGUCAAAGCAGGCCAGCACAGGGGAGGGAGGCGUUCUCUUGAACCAGCCGAGGCAGAGAACAGUAGCAUGCUUUUAAAGGAGAAGAGCACGAACACUGGGCUUUUCUUGACAUACAUCAUUAACUAUUAACAGAGAUUCAUUAUUUUUGUGGAUUUGUCACAAUUGGCUCUUAGGAUAGAGUGUCUACAUGCUAUAUUAAUUAUCCCUAACCUGCUUGGAGGCACAUUUGUGAUUGCCAAUCAUUUAUUGCCAAUUUACAUACUUGAGGGAGGAGAUGAGGGGGAGAUAUUCAGAAACAUAAAAACACAUUAGAGUUAAUGUAUUAACAUUUUCCCUGAAGCUCAUCCCAUUCCAUGUCUUGAUGAGUCCAUCUUAGUCCUGAAUAAUCCUCACCUCUUGCAUCCUCGGCAAGCGACAGGAAAACUGAACAAUUUCCUUGAGAUUACUUGAAUUCCUUGGAAUAAUGUCAGUUACUGUGUCAAAUUUUUGGUUGUUUUUUAAAGAAUGAAAUGAUAUAUUCAUAAUAAAGUUGUGAUUUUCUUAUUUGAUAUGAAAUCUCAAUGUUUUCUUUUUGCAUAACCCACUUUGCAGUGUGUCAGGACACAUUUUCCUAACAAUCCAUAAGGGAACAGAAACUCUCACUUUGAAUAUAUAUGAGUUUAUUAUACUCUCUGCAUGAGGUUUGAAGUGACUUGUUUUCUCAUGGUAAGAGAGAGUGGAUGAAGCUCAGUGUGGGUGUUGUGGUAGUACCAUUAGCCAGCCAUACCUGAUCUGAGAUGUCACGCCUGACUGUACUGCACCAUCAGGGCUGAGGUGCUCCUGCUUUGUCAUCAUUAAGUGGGUGGCUGCUGUGGCAAAAUGCUUCUGCUCAGUGAAUCAAUCACAAAAUAAAUGUUAUACUUCUGCAGGGGAAAUAUCGUGCCUCCUUCUUGACUUCCCACUCCCAGCACUUUUAUUCCUCUGCUACCCUGACAUGCUGCAACAGCUUUAUGAAAACCAAAGGCUUUAAUUGUAAAACUACCACUUCACUGAAGACAUGCAGGAUUUAUUCAGUGCUCAGCUCCCAGAGAUCACUUUAUUUGGCAUUCCUCAUUUAUUUUUCCUUCACUCCAUCUUACCAAGCAAAGUUUAAUAUUUAAACAUGUGCCACAUUCUCUUCGUGAGCUUGAGUUGCUUGAAAAUGUCAUGCUGUGUCAGCAUUUCUUUCCUAUUGGGCUGGGAGCCCCAGCAGCUCCCGCUGAGCAGCCCUUCUGGUGGGGCAGUAAAGGACUGUGCAGCCUCAAGGAUGGUGCAGCCACAAAAUAACAACCAUUGAGCUCCUUACAAUCCCUUUUCUAAAAGGCACCACAGUUUGGAUGUGCUAGAGAAAACUUUCUGUUUUCAUCAUGAGGGCUAAGUGCUCACAGAGCAUCCUGUGCACAGUUACCUUAACAGGGCUGCUCCUUGUACAGGGAAGUCUCAAACAUGCCUUCAGUUGAUAAAAGAUAAUAGCAUUACUUCAUAUCAGAGCAAUUCCUAUGACAACCCAUCCAGAGCAUGGCACAGAGCUGCCCCAGCUGAGGGAGCUGCAGUGGGCCUCACCUGCUGGGCCCAAACGGCUGUGUCCCACUCUCAGGUCUGUGCCAGCUUGCUAUGUAGUAGUAAAUGCGUGCUGCAUAUGCAUGAUAAUACAUGUCUCCAAGGUUUAGUGGAUCUGGAAUUAUGCCAUUUGUUUUACACUAAUUGAAGCGCGUGUCUACAAUAGGAUAAAUAGAGACCAUAAAAUAAGGGUACUGCAUAACCUAUCUUAUUACUGAACAGGCAGUCACUUGCACAGCACCUGAAAAUGUGUUCUGUAAAAAAAAAAAAAAAAAAAAAGCAGCUCAUUUCUGUUCAUAUGUGUGCAUGUAUUUGGCUAAUAGGAUUUAUUUAUUUCUUCUAAGCCAGUCUGAGACAACACAUACUCCUUUACAGCUUUUCAGA